rnacentral:misc_RNA from 1 species
AUGAUUAUGAUGAAGCAAUAAAAUCCAAAAGAGGUUCUAAAACUUCAAGCAAAGCUGAAUUAAAACAUAAAUCAGCUUCUGCUUCGGC